CCUGUAAAGCAGAAAAUAUCCUCAUUGAAACAACAGAAGACAGUUUUCAGAGAGGAAGAUACAGCAUUCAGUAUAUAAAGAAAGGUUAUUUAUCAUUGGAUUUAAUGAAUGUGAGCAUCACAGGGCUGAAAAAGUCAGACUCAGGACGGUACCGGUGUCAGUCUGAUGAAACGUGGGCUGGAACUCUACAUGAUGAUUUUGAUCUUAUUGUCACUGAAGGUGAGUUUUCUCCUAAAAAUCUUCCUUCAUGUCUCUGAAAGAAAACUCUGCUCACUGACAGCUUGUUCUGAUCCAAAUAACCUCAGACAGGAAACUGGGUUUAACUAGUUCUGAUGGUUUUAACUGAUCUAAAUCAUCCAAAAUGUUCAAACUGUGACUCACCUAGAAAAACAUCAUCAUUGGUGUCAUGAAUAUGAAGAAUUAUUGUCAGCUUUAAACUCAGUGGUUCUGAUUCUGUUUAAUUGUUCACAGCUUCAACCUCCUCAGAACCAGACUGGACUCCAUCAACUUCUCCAUCAACAUUUCUGUCAUCAGCUUCUCUAACAACAACAACUUUUACACAAAGGCUGAGUUCCUCCUCUUCUUCCUCCUCAUCUGAAACCAGAACAUCAACUGGACCCAAAGGUCUGCUGCUUUAUGUGAUUCUGACUCUGGUCGCCAAGAUCAUCUUAUUAUCAACACCUUUGGUGAUUUUCUGCUGGAAGAAGAGACUCACUAAGAGCAAAGGUCCUGCUGUGGAAACAGAGUACGCUGUCGUCUCUCAGAACAACCCAGAGACAGAGAUAACCAGAAGAGGACUGAUCAAAUCCUCUGCUGAGGAAAUAUCUUCAGUUUAGACGUGAACUAAACUCUAAAACAACCAGAGCUCAAAGUACAGAUGAGGAACAUUUCCUCUGAUUUUUUUUUUCUCAACAAAAUAAGUCAAUCUGUGUCAGGAUUUAAGCUCUCGGAUUAAAAAAACAAACAAAUCAAAUUUAAAUGCUUUUUAAAGUUCAGAAGUAGCAUUUUGUGUUGUUGUAUGAAUCACUUUUAUAGCCUUUGCAUCACUUUAACUAUGUAUUUUUUUUUAAAUAUUGUAUCACUAACAUAAGCUAAUAUUGUUCACCUUGUUUUUAAAUACUCUAUAUUUACAUUUGACCAGGAUUCUCCAGGCUUAGUGCUGAAAGCAGUGAAGCCAUCUUAUUAACAUUAAAAACAAUAAAUGACUGAUGGCGCUUCUUGUUUUACUCCUUUGUUAUUUUAUGCGUUCAGUUUCAGAGCUGCUUGCUCCAGGAUGAAUACGGUGAAUUUUCAGGUCAUUUUAUACUUUUUUUAAAGUCUGGCGAUUAGAGUAAUUUUCUAUAAUCUACUCUGUGUUCUGUAAGUAAAUUAGUUUUUUUGGACACCAAUAAAUCUUAUGCACCACAUGAGCUUGCCCAGAGUUAUUUUA